GGUGAACCUGCGGAGGGAUCAUUACAGAGUUGCAAAACUCCCUAAACCAUUGUGAACGUUACCUUACCGUUGCUUCGGCGGGCGGCCCGGGUCCUGCCCGGCGCCCCUCGGCCCCUCGCGGGGCGCCCGCCGGAGGUAAACCAAACCAUUGAAUUUUAUGGCCUCUCUGAGUCUUCUGUACUGAAUAAGUCAAAACUUUCAACAACGGAUCUCUUGGUUCUGGCAUCGAUGAAGAACGCAGCGAAAUGCGAUAAGUAAUGUGAAUUGCAGAAUUCAGUGAAUCAUCGAAUCUUUGAACGCACAUUGCGCCCGCCAGUAUUCUGGCGGGCAUGCCUGUUCGAGCGUCAUUUCAACCAUCAAGCCCCCGGCUUGUGUUGGGGACCUGCGGCUGCCGCAGGCCCUGAAAACCAGUGGCGGGCUCGCUAGUCACUCCGAGCGUAGUAGUUACAUCUCGCUCAGGGCGUGCUGCGGGUUCCGGCCGUUAAAAGCCUUAUUUACCCAAGGGUUGACCUCGGGAUCAGGUAGGAAGACCCGCUGAACUUAA
rnacentral:rRNA from 1 species